UACAGAGGGUGCGAGCGUUAAUCGGAGUUACUGGGCGUAAAGGGCGCGUAGGCGGUUAUGUGAGUGUGAUGUGAAAGCCCUGGGCUUAACCUAGGAAGUGCAUCGCAAACGACAUAACUGGAGUAUAAGAGAGGGUGGCGGAAUUUCCGGUGUAGCGGUGAAAUGCGUAGAGAUCGGAAGGAACGUCAAUGGCGAAGGCAGCCACCUGGCUUAAUACUGACGCUGAGGCGCGAAAGCGUGGGGAUCGAACAGG
rnacentral:rRNA from 1 species